rnacentral:rRNA from 1 species
AUUGAACGCUGGCGGCAUGCCUUACACAUGCAAGUCGAACGGUAACAGGUCUUCGGAUGCUGACGAGUGGCGAACGGGUGAGUAAUACAUCGGAACGUGCCUAGUAGUGGGGGAUAACUACUCGAAAGAGUGGCUAAUACCGCAUGAGAUCUACGGAUGAAAGCAGGGGAACGCAAGACCUUGUGCUACUAGAGCGGCCGAUGGCAGAUUAGGUAGUUGGUGGGAUAAAAGCUUACCAAGCCGACGAUCUGUAGCUGGUCUGAGAGGACGAUCAGCCACACUGGGGCUGAGACACGGCCCAGACUCCUACGGGAGGCAGCAGUGGGGAAUUUUGGACAAUGGGCGAAAGCCUGAUCCAGCAAUGCCGCGUGCAGGAUGAAGGCCUUCGGGUUGUAAACUGCUUUUGUACGGAACGAAAAGCCCCGGGUUAAUACCCUGGGGUCAUGACGGUACCGUAAGAAUAAGCACCGGCUAACUACGUGCCAGCAGCCGCCGUAA